ACCAGGAUGGCCGAGUGGUUAAGGCGUUGGACUUAAGUUCAAUGUACGAAUGUACGCGUGGGUUUUGAACCCCACUCCUGGUA
rnacentral:tRNA from 1 species